GACGAACGCUGGCGGCGUGCCUAACACAUGCAAGUCGAACGGAUAGGCCCCUUUGGGGGUCCUCGAGUGGCGAACGGGUGCGUAACACGUGCGCAACCUGAACCUGACUUUGGGAUAACUUCAGCAAACUGGGGCCAAUACUGGAUAGGAAUCAUUGCUGCAUGGUGGGGGUUGGAAAGCUUCGGCGGUUUUGGAUGGACUCUCGGCUUAUCGACUCGUUGGUGGGGUUGUGGCUUACGAAGGCUUUGUCCGAUAGCCGGCCUGGGAGGGGGACCGGCCACAAUAGGACUAAGGUACGGCCCAGAAUCCUACCGGAGGCAGCGGUGGGGAGUAUUGCGCAGUAAGCGGAAGCCAGAUGCAGCAACGCCGCGUGCGGAAUGACGGCCUUCUGGUUGUAAACCACUUUCUACAGGAGCGAAGCUUUUGUGACGGUACCUACAGAAGAAGCACCGGCUAACUACGUG
rnacentral:rRNA from 1 species